UUAGUGCUGCACCAUGCGGUCAAGUGCUGAGAUUAAAUAAAGCUAGUAUGUGCAAGAACCUAUAAAAUUAGAGACCUGCCCUAUUUGAUUGCAGUUUAGCAUAUACAAAAACCUAUGUAUUUAAGCUUAAAGUCAGGGAUCUGUCCUGUUUAGUUGCACACUAGCAUUGACAGGAAUCUAUUGACAAAAUCGUGCAAUAGUGAAACUAAUUGUAUGUUGCCCAAAAAAGAGAAAUUAAUUGUUUAUUAUAUUUCCUUUAGAGAAAUGAUAAUGAAUCAGUGGAAUGAUGCAAUUAAUAGAUGCAAAUAAUUUUAAUCUCUUCCAUACACCAUUUAGAUUUAACAUUAAUCCUCAGUACUUGGCAUGUCAAUUGUACUAGCGUGAAUAUUUUUUCAUCGUCGCAUGGAACCACAUAUUCUUUUUCCUUAGUACAUACGAUGGUGUUUGUUGAGACGACCUUGCAUAUGAGGUCAUAUAUUUUUAUUGGACCUACACCUCACAAUUGGUGACCCCGACGUGAUCUACAGUAACAAAAGAGGUGUGACUGUGAUAGCGCUACCAAGACUUCCAUCAUUGCGAAUCUAAGACUGUGGCAAGCUGGACCUCUACCACUACGACAAACGCGGAACGGCUUUUCCAUCUUCAGCAAACCUCGACACCUCACCUCCGAUCGACGCGCAAAGCAGGUGGUGAGAUACGAGACGAUGACCAAGCCUGGAGUGAUGUGGCCAUUACAAAGUUCAUGGACGUGAUGCCCACCAGCACGCCAUAAUAAAAAGAGGAACAGAGGCCUACGACCGUACGCAAACACCCCGCACCGUACCGACAAGUAUCCACCGUCACAUCGAAAGACUUUGCGCAACAUAUGCACAGGCUUGACAACAAUCGGCUAACGCUUUACCACACAAAGAAGAAACGUUAUCACUGGUAAAGAGGUACUGUGACGGCACUCGACAGCAAAUACGACCACUCGACACUAACUAUUGUCGGAUGACAGCAGCGCAGUGGUUAGCGUCUUAGAUUACGAACGUUCGGAACCCGGAUUCAAAUCCCGGCGAUCAUAGUCCGAUUCUUCUUAAAUGAGAAGAAAAACAGCAUUACCCCAGCAGCGACAUAUACGCCCGUAGCAGAACCUAUCUCCAGCUGCCACACUAGCAGUAGCGCACUAUCACCACAAACAACUACUAUACUCCACCUCAUAUCUCUUCUAUUAUUGAACUGAAUGAAUUUCGGAGUGGGAUGUCUUAUAGCCAUUGUUGUUUUUUUGUAUCUGAAAAUUUCAUAGCGUUUGUGCCUAUUUUAUGCGUUUUGUGUGCUGUUGCUAUCUUCCAGUGUUCACCUUGAUAUGAUAGUUCGUCAUUGUAGCUAUUUUCUUCGUGGUUUUGCAACGUUUCCAUUACUUUUGUCGUCAUUCUACCGUCGACUGCCAAAGUGCGUAGACAUGUAUCUAAUGCUCAGUGAAGUUUACAAUACAAGUGACGACCCUUCGUCGAAAGUGAAUUGAAACA
rnacentral:misc_RNA from 1 species